UACGUAGGGGGCAAGCGUUGUCCGGAAUCAUUGGGCGUAAAGCGCGUGUAGGCGGUUCAGUAAGUCUGCUGUGAAAGUCCAGGGCUCAACCCUGGGAUGCCGCUGGAAACUGUCUGGCUAGAGUCCGGAAGGGGCGAGUGGAAUUCCUGGUGUAGCGGUGAAAUGCGCAGAUAUCAGGAGGAACACCAAUGGCGAAGGCAGCUCGCUGGAACGGUACUGACGCUGAGGCGCGAAAGCGUGGGGAGCGAACAGG
rnacentral:rRNA from 1 species